rnacentral:rRNA from 1 species
AUGAAAUCACAUGAAAAGGAGGGGAGGGACCCAAGACCGCUGCAAUAUAUGCAACCUUUUCAAGAUACCUUGACUGAUUGUGACUUAGUUGAUAUGGGCUAUAACGGUGAAAAGUUUACCUGGCAUCGUGGAUUAAUUAGGGAGAGGUUGGACAGGGGAGUCUGUAAUCCCGGCUGGCCUCAGCUUUUCCCGAAUGCUGCUGUACAAAAUUUGGAGUACAAUCACUAAGAUCAUCGACCACUGCUACUAGACACUCAAUUUUUGGUAGCAGAUAAUCAUAUCUGA